GACGAACGCUGGCGGCGUGCUUAACACAUGCAAGUCGAACGAUGAAGCCCAGCUUGCUGGGUGGAAGAGUGGCGAACGGGUGAGUAACACGUGAGUAACCUGCCCUGAACUCUGGGAUAAGCACUGGAAACGGUGUCUAAUACUGGAUACGACCUAUCACCGCAUGGUGUGUGGGUGGAAAGAUUUAUCGGUUUUGGAUGGACUCGCGGCCUAUCAGCUAGAUGGUGAGGUAAUGGCUCACCAUGGCGACGACGGGUAGCCGGCCUGAGAGGGUGACCGGCCACACUGGGACUGAGACACGGCCCAGACUCCUACGGGAGGCAGCAGUGGGGAAUAUUGCACAAUGGGCGCAAGCCUGAUGCAGCAACGCCGCGUGAGGGAUGACGGCCUUCGGGUUGUAAACCUCUUUUAGUAGGGAAGAAGCGAAAGUGACGGUACCUGCAGAAAAAGCACCGGCUAACUACGUGCCAGCAGCCGCGGUAAUACGUAGGGUGCAAGCGUUGUCCGGAAUUAUUGGGCGUAAAGAGCUCGUAGGCGGCUUGUCGCGUCUGCUGUGAAAUCCCGGGGCUCAACCCCGGGUCUGCAGUGGGUACGGGCAAGCUAGAGUGCGGUAGGGGAGAUU
rnacentral:rRNA from 1 species